GGAAUUUUGGACAAUGGGCGCAAGCCUGAUCCAGCAAUGCCGCGUGCAGGAUGAAGGCCUUCGGGUUGUCAACUGCUUUUGUACGGAACGAAACGGCACUUUCUAAUACAGGGGGUUAAUGAUGCUACCGUAAGAAUAACCGCCGGCUAACUACGUGCCAGCCGCCGCGGUAAUACGUAGGGUGCGAGCGUUAAUCGGAAUUACUGGGCGUAAAGCGUGCGCAGGCGGUUAUGUAAGACAGAUGUGAAAUCCCCGGGCUCAACCUGGGACCUGCAUUUGUGACUGCAUAGCUAGAGUACGGUAGAGGGGGAUGGAAUUCCGCGUGUAGCAGUGAAAUGCGUAGAUAUGCGGAGGAACACCGAUGGCGAAGGCAAUCCCCUGGACCUGUACUGACGCUCAUGCACGAAAGCGUGGGGAGCAAAC
rnacentral:rRNA from 1 species